rnacentral:rRNA from 1 species
AGUGAACGCUGGCGGUAGGCCUAACACAUGCAAGUCGAACGGCAGCACAGUAAGAGCUUGCUCUUACGGGUGGCGAGUGGCGGACGGGUGAGGAAUACAUCGGAAUCUACUUUUUCGUGGGGGAUAACGUAGGGAAACUUACGCUAAUACCGCAUACGACCUACGGGUGAAAGCAGGGGAUCUUCGGACCUUGCGCGAUUGAAUGAGCCGAUGUCGGAUUAGCUAGUUGGCGGGGUAAAGGCCCACCAAGGCGACGAUCCGUAGCUGGUCUGAGAGGAUGAUCAGCCACACUGGAACUGAGACACGGUCCAGACUCCUACGGGAGGCAGCAGUGGGGAAUAUUGGACAAUAGGCGCAAGCCUGAUCCAGCCAUACCGCGUGGGUGAAGAAGGCCUUCGGGUUGUAAAGCCCUUUUGUUGGGAAAGAAAAGCAGCAGGUUAAUACCCCGCUGUUCUGACGGUACCCAAAGAAUAAGCACCGGCUAACUUCGU